rnacentral:rRNA from 1 species
CAGCAGCCGCGGUAAUACGUAGGGGGCAAGCGUUAUCCGGAUUUACUGGGUGUAAAGGGAGCGCAGACGGCAGUGCAAGUCUGAAGUGAAAGGCGUGGGCUCAACCCAUGAACUGCUUUGGAAACUGUAUAGCUUGAGUGUCGGAGGGGUAAGCGGAAUUCCUAGUGUAGCGGUGAAAUGCGUAGAUAUUAGGAGGAACACCGGAGGCGAAGGCGGCUUACUGGACGACAACUGACGUUGAGGCUCGAAGGCGUGGGGAGCAAACAGGAUUAGAUACCCCUGUAGUCCCUGUCUCUUAUAC